AGUUAAGUGACUAAGCGUACAAGGUGGAUGCCUUGGCAAUCAGAGGCGAAGAAGGACGUGCUAAUCUGCGAAAAGCUUGGAUGAGUCGAUAAGAGGCGUUUAAUCCAAGAUAUCCGAAUGGGGAAACCCAGUGGGUGAAGAAUCCACUAUCAACAAGUGAAUACAUAGCUUGUUGAGGCAAACCGGGAGAACUGAAACAUCUAAGUACCCCGAGGAAAAGAAAUCAACCGAGAUUUCGUCAGUAGCGGCGAGCGAAAGCGAAAGAGCCUGUUAAUGAUAACAGCAGAGAUAGAGGAAUAAGCUGGGAAGCUUAGCGACACAGGGUGAUAGCCCCGUACUCAAAAUCCAGGCUGUGGUACUAAGUUAACGAGAAGUAGGGCGGGACACGUGAUAUCCUGUUUGAAGAUGGGGGGACCAUCCUCCAAGGCUAAAUACUCCUGAUUGACCGAUAGUGAACCAGUACUGUGAAGGAAAGGCGAAAAGAACCCCGGUGAGGGGAGUGAAAUAGAACCUGAAACCUUGUACGUACAAGCAGUGGGAGCCCGCAAGGGUGACUGCGUACCUUUUGUAUAAUGGGUCAGCGACUUAUAUUUUGUAGCGAGGUUAACCGAAUAGGGGAGCCGAAGGGAAACCGAGUCUUAACUGGGCGACUAGUUGCAAGGUAUAGAC
rnacentral:rRNA from 1 species